UACGUAGGGUGCGAGCGUUGCCCGGAUUUAUUGGGCGUAAAGGGCGCGUAGGCGGCCACGCACGUCCGUUGUGAAAUCGCCCGGCUCAACUGGGCGGGGUCAGCGGAUACGGUGUGGCUCGAGCAAGCUAGGGGGCAAUGGAAUUCCCGGUGUAGUGGUGGAAUGCGUAGAUAUCAGGAGGAACACCGGUGGGCGAAGGCGGGGUCUCUGG
rnacentral:rRNA from 1 species